rnacentral:rRNA from 1 species
AAUGCCCGCAAGGGUGAUCCAGCCAUCCCGCGUGCAGGAAGACGGCCCUAUGGGUUGUAAACUGCUUUUAUCAGGGAAGAAACCCCUUGACUUGUUGAGGGUUGACGGUACCUGAUGAAUAAGCACCGGCUAACUCCGUGCCAGCAGCCGCGGUAAUACGGAGGGUGCAAGCGUUAUCCGGAAUCACUGGGUUUAAAGGGUGCGUAGGCGGCUAUAUAAGUCAGAGGUGAAAGGCUACGGCUUAACUGUGGGAUUGCCUUUGAUACUGUAUAGCUGGAAUCAGGUUGAAGUUAGUGGAAUGCGGCAUGUAGCGGUGAAAUGCAUAGAUAUGUCGUAGAACACCGAUUGCGAAGGCAGCUAACUGGGCUUGAAUUGACGCUGAGGCACGAAAGCGUGGGGAUCGAA